UGCUGAAGUGGCCGCUCCUCGAGAGAGCUAGGCCUCAUUGGAUCGUCCUCCUCUCCAUCCGAUGUUUAGCGGGUCGUUUGAACUCUUUUGUGUGUUCGUGUUUUUCUUUCAGCUCAUGCAAUCAUCCACCCAACAGUCUAUGAAGAUACACCGGAUCGGGUAGGACAGUUUGCACAUAUUACAAGCUUGAUCCAUUCCACUGCUGCUUGUAAUUGAUCCGACCACAAGCCAAAAGAUGCGUCUUUGGUGUGGAAUGAUUGAACUAGAGAGAUUGCUAGAUGGAUCCAAAAUCUGCAUGGAUUUUAGCCUUGUGACCUAAUAAAGGUGACAAAUUUUUUUAAAAGUAUAAUCUACAUUUUCUUCCAAUUUCUCUGCGCUCAAGAGAUAUAGCCAAAGAUUCCAGUAUAGCCAUGCGUAACAAAAGAAGAUCAUUGUCUCUUUCUAAAAUCACAUAUUUAACAAAUAAAAUAAGAGUUGCUAUCUUAUUUCGAUCUUACAAAAUUACAAUUUAUA